rnacentral:misc_RNA from 1 species
ACACCUCAACUCUCACGGUUUGCCGUGAUGAGCUUGGACUUUGGAGGUUUUUGCUGGCCCAUGGUUGGCUCCUCUCAAACAAAUUAGCUUGCCAGUUUUCGGUGGCGUCACAGGUGUGAUAACUAUCUACGCUCGUGGUCGUCCGCUGGGUAACCUUUCGGUGACGGAGGUUUGCUGGAGCUUAUAAAUGUCUCUCCUCAGCGAAGACAGCUAUUCGAAC